rfam:Haemophilus parasuis SH0165, complete genome.
CAUAUGGUACUAGACAGCUGAGUAGUAUGCUCUAGUGGCGAUAUGGCUUCGUUAGAGGU